rnacentral:rRNA from 1 species
GUGGGGAAUUUUGGACAAUGGGCGCAAGCCUGAUCCAGCAAUGCCGCGUGCAGGAAGAAGGCCUUCGGGUUGUAAACUGCUUUUGUACGGAACGAAACGGUCCUGGCUAAUACCCGGGGCUAAUGACGGUACCGUAAGAAUAAGCACCGGCUAACUACGUGCCAGCAGCCGCGGUAAUACGUAGGGUGCGAGCGUUAAUCGGAAUUACUGGGCGUAAAGCGUGCGCAGGCGGUGCUGUAAGACAGGCGUGAAAUCCCCGGGCUCAACCUGGGAAUUGCGCUUGUGACUGCAGUGCUGGAGUGCGGCAGAGGGGGAUGGAAUUCCGCGUGUAGCAGUGAAAUGCGUAGAUAUGCGGAGGAACACCGAUGGCGAAGGCAAUCCCCUGGGCCUGCACUGACGCUCAUGCACGAAAGCGUGGGGAGCAAACAGGAUUAGAUACCCUGGUAGUCC